rnacentral:lncRNA from 1 species
CCCUUCACCAAAAUGGUUGAAAGCUAUAGUGACUUGCAUAUUCUUGUCCUGUAAGUAUGUGUCACUAUGGCCUAAAAGCAUAACCUUGUUGUGAUGCGUCAGGUAGUUGUUAGAAAUGGUGAUGGCUGUAGAUCCAUGGAUUGCAUCAAUUAGACCAUCACGGCAGUUGGACAAAGAGCAAUGAUCCACCCAAACAUGGCUUCCACCAAAGAUGGAAACUCCAUCGCCAUCUGAGAGCGUUCUCCAUCCGAAAUGUUCAGGCGAGUCUCUCACAUACGCAUUUCCACCUUGCUUGCAAUCAUGGAUGUUUAGGCCAUGAACGAUGAUAUUAGUUACAUAUUGUAUAGUAAUGCAUGGCCCUCCUGCAAUGUGGACGUUAGCACCUCUACCAUCAAUCGUCUUGAAUGAGUUCAUUAUCAGCUCUUCCUUGAGCUGGAUCACCAUAUCACGAGCAAAUAUAAUCCAUAAAGGUUCAUCUUGUAUGACACCAUAUCUAAGAGUUCCAGGCUUAGGAUUCACAGGAUGAUCUCCAUUGUCCGUAACCACGUAGAUUUCACCAUCUCUUCCACCAACAGCAUGCUUACCAAAUCCAAUAGCGCAAUCAGCUAAGCUUUGGCGGUUCUUCUCCCAAUUGGGGUCGCACCUCCAGCAAUCAUCAAUAGGGUUGCCAGUGCCACAAGAAAGGAAGGCCAGAUUUCUUCUCGAUGCAUUUAUUUUCCUGCAAAAAUUAUUCAUCCAAGAAGUAAUGACAUGACUGGUACUUGUGCUCUGUGAGUUGUGAUCAAUUAUGGAUGCUACAAUAUGCAAUUAGUACUUCUACUUCAUAGUGAAGGAACGAAGUAGUGAGCGCGAAAUGUUGGAAUGAUAUUACCACAAUUCAAGGAUGAAGAACUAGUUAGUAUGAAUUGUACAUACUCGUUUACUUCUUGCACCACUGAUUCGGGGUCUGGCACUGGUGAAGACAAUGUGUUAGUUGAGGCCAAUAACAGAAGCAGGAAAAACAGAAUGGAAUGUGGCAUUGCAGCUGUCUGCUCUUCGACCUGGCUGGAAAUGUGAGGUCCGGGUAGAGGAGAGACAACGGAAAGGUAGAAAAUGGUACGU